CUUACACAAUGGGUAAUUUAAUUAUCACAGACAGAGAAAUACAGUUUCAUAAAACACAUCACAGGGACCCCAAAACAUGCAAUAACCCCAUAAAAUUCACCCAGAUCCGUUCAGUACUUUGGAAGAUAUAGUUUAAUGCAGAUUCUGCAGAACAUAUACAGGCUAAAUGAAAAACAAUCACUGUAUAAUGUGUCCCCUGCUGUAUAGUCCAAAACCACUGCACGAUGUCUC